UACGGGGGGGGCAAGCGUUGUUCGGAAUUACUGGGCGUAAAGGGCUCGUAGGCGGCCAACUAAGUCAGACGUGAAAUCCCUCGGCUUAACCGGGGAACUGCAUCUGAUACUGGAUGGCUUGAGUUCGGGAGAGGGAUGCGGAAUUCCAGGUGUAGCGGUGAAAUGCGUAGAUAUCUGGAGGAACACCGGUGGCGAAGGCGGCUUGCUGGGCCUUACCUGACGCUGAGGAGCGAAAGCGUGGGGAGCGAACAGG
rnacentral:rRNA from 1 species